ACAUAUCAUGAGGGAAGGUUCAAUGAAAUCUCAUGAAUCAUAUGGUACAUGAAUGUGAUGUCUCAUCCUCAUACAAGAAUAAGAUCCGACUCAUCAUGUGAUGAAGGUGGCAUAUCUUGAUACUCAACUAACUAGUGCUCACCUCCUCUAGCUCAUCUACAUCGUCUCUGUCUAGAAUGAACUUCAAACAAAGAGACCUUCUCUCAAGUCAAUCCAAUGAGCUCCCAUCUGUAGACAUCUUUAUUAUUCGAGCUAAUCAUCAUCCAAUACAAUUCGAAUGCCUCAAACUUCUGAAUCUAUGAUCCUCUCUCUAGACUUCAUGUUUCCAAAGAAC
rnacentral:lncRNA from 1 species